AGCUCCUGUCUACAGCUCCCAGCGUGAGCCACGCAGAAGACGGGUGAUUUCUGCAUUUCCAUCUGAGGUACCGGGCUACACCCUGCAAGGUCAUUAUCAUUAGCUGCACUUUACAGGAGAGGAAGCUGAGGCUCAGAGAAGCAAACUGCCCUCCUACUUAUGUUGAAGACUUUCCCAUCCUAUGAGCCCAGGUGGGAGAAGCUGAAAAUGGCAGAAGGUCACUUUUCCAACUGCCCUGUGCCUGGUGAGCCUGUGACACAGACCCCAUUGCUCACAUAUCCACCCAGUUUGGUGCCAUAGGUGGUAGCACUUCAGGGCCAAGGAGUUUGAAGAAGUCCAAGGUAGAGCUUUCUGGAAAAUCCUCUGGAGAGGUUGAUCAGAAACCUUCUCCCACAUAAACAAAGGACCCAGGAAGAAGCUAAAAAUGGGCCAUGAGAUUGUCUUUAUUCAUCAAGCCUGAAGUUUUCUGACUCUAUCUUUCUUUUCCCGUGGCCACUGUUACCUCUCCAGACCAGACCCCAUCACCUGAAUUCUGCCUGGGCCUCGACAGAUAUGCUCAGCU
rnacentral:lncRNA from 1 species